rnacentral:rRNA from 1 species
UACGUAGGGUGCGAGCGUUGUCCGGAAUUACUGGGCGUAAAGAGCUCGUAGGCGGUCUGUCGCGUCGGUCGUGAAAACCUGCAGCUUAACUGUGGGCGUGCGGUCGAUACGGGCAUGACUGGAGUUCGGCAGGGGAGACUGGAAUUCCUGGUGUAGCGGUGAAAUGCGCAGAUAUCAGGAGGAACACCGGUGGCGAAGGCGGGUCUCUGGGCCGAUACUGACGCUGAGGAGCGAAAGCGUGGGGAGCAAACAGG